GCUUGUUCUCCGAGCUCUCCUAGCGCGCGAUUAUAACUUUUUUCCCCAAACAUGUAUUCGAUAGUAAGCACCGUUUUGCAAAGAAAAUCAAAUUGGAAAUUCAUUAGCCCGGACAGCUGUUCUUACGCGUGUGAGAGGAGAGACAUUAUUACAAACUUCGGGAGCAGGUGAGACUUGAACACAGACCUCCCGGCCCAGAGGUGUUGCAAUUGAGUGUAUUUCUUCAAACCCCAUAUCAUUGGUCUUCCGUCAAUCGGACUUUGGCCUCGUUCUCUCAGUUUCACAGUUUGUGUUCUUCAUUUUAUUAAGGGAUUUUGCAGUUGUAUUUAUUACCAGAAUAUUCGAUGUGUGAACAUGGAUGUCAGUACUCAAGAAAUACUUGAUGAAAUCAGGACCUCUCAGGAGCAAGGUGAUGAUGGGAACUUGUUUUACUUGUAUGUGGCGACCCCUGGUGGAGCUCCAAAAGACAUCCAUAAAAAAUUGAUUAAGCCUUUUCUGCAGGAGCACGGAUGGCAAAAAGUCAGCUAUCCAAACACUGGAUUCAGGGCAUUAUACUUUUGCCACAAAAAGUCAGACGGAUUGGAGAAAGCAGAAGCUGUGAGAGACCGAGCAGAGCUGAAAAACAAACUGGAUGAAUAUAAAGAACUGAAUAAGGUUGACUUCAAAGUUCACAUGGUGCUAUCCAUACCAGUAAAUUACAACGAAGAUUUUGUCGAAUUGACCUCACAACCUGGAUCUAUUGAAUGGUGAAAGUAAAUUUGAUGCAACAAUGGGUUCACAGACAAUUCAGAUUUGUCUGUCUGCAAUGAAUGUAUAUGGCUCAAGUAAAUAUAGAACUUAGUAGCAUGUUCUCACUUUACGCAAUGAUUGUGAAAAAUCCAGGCAUGAUUUAUUUGGAUUAAAUUCUGUCAACAAAGUUAAAAUUUAAAACAAACUGUGCACUUUUAAAAUUGUUCUUAUUCUUUUUGUGUAUACCUUGUGCUCUGUCAGCCAAAAAAAAGUCUGGAUUGUAGACAAGCCCUUAGCCAUAAUCAGUGCUGCUCCAAAUGAAUUACAGGUGACAUGCUGUGCAGUAAUCUAAUCAUUUUUGUAAUAGCUAUUAUGUAGCAGAACUAUAGAUGUGAAUGUUAUACAUUGAGAACAUAGAAAAUAUAAAAGCGUCCAUAACUUUCAGAUGAUGACCUGAGGUCGUAAAUUGAAGUCAAUAUUCAACAUGAAAAAAAGGCAUAAUGCAGUGAAACUAACUUGUUUUUACUUAUAUGAAAUAAAGCAACUGUGCAACUAGUUAUUCCUGUUUGGGCAUACUUAAUAAUUCAGUUUCAUGCUUUAGGUUUCAUAGAUAUCUCAAAUGUAACUUGUAUCCUGCAGGUGCAAUGCAUUUGGCAAUAUAGUUUUUAUUUGGUUGAAUAGAGGAAAAUGAAUGUACCUAAAUGAUGUCAAGCCUGCCAGCUUUGUGCGUGCUUAGAAGUAGUAAAAAUUAUAUGCCCAAAUUAUUUUGAUAUCCAUCUCAUUAGUUCUGUGGGUUUGAAAAGAUUUAAGUAGUUUUUCACUUUAUACCUGACAUAAACUUGAGCUGAUCCAAAACUCUGGGAUCCUAAUUCACACCCAGUCCAAUUUCCCUCAUCCCUGUGCUCACUAAUCUGUGUUGGCUCCUACACCUCACAGCAGAUGUGAUUAAAAUUAUUUAGAAAUCUCAACCUUGUUUCUCAUCUCUCCAUCUGCUUGACCUCUCUAUUAUUGAAAUUUUCUCCUGUCCUUCGAAAUCUGAGUUUCUUAGACUCAUGCAUUUUUCACAUCCCUGAUUUUAAUCACUUCACUGUUGGCCUUCCACUACCUAAGCCUUAAACCUCUGAAAUUUUUUUCCAAACAUCUUUCCUUUAAUACGCUCCUUAAACUACCAUUUUAACUAUCCCAACAUUUUUUUUCUUGUUGUAUUAGGACAAAUUUUGUUUCAUAAUCACCUGUGAAGCACCUUGUGAUAUUUUACUAUGUUAAAGAAACAAUAUAAAUGCAUUUUCAAUGUAUACAUAAAAUACAUGUACAUUUAGAAUGAAAUUCUAA